rnacentral:rRNA from 1 species
GACAGAGGCCUCGAGCGUUAGGCGGAAUCACUGGGCUUAAAGCGUGUGUAGGCGGAUCGUUAAGUGCCUUGUGAAAUCCCACGGCUUAACUGUGGAACGGCUGGGCAUACUGGCGGUCUUGAGCCAUCUAGGGGCGACUGGAACAAACGGUGGAGCGGUGAAAUGCGUAGAUAUCAGGAGGAACACCGGUGGCGAAGGCGGGUCUCUGGGCCGAUACUGACGCUGAGGAGCGAAAGCGUGGGGAGCGAACAGG